UUGAGCGGAGAUAUAUGGAGCUUGCUUUAUUAACUUAGCAGCGAACGGGUGAGUAACACGUAGAUAAUCUAUCCUAUACUGGGGGAUAGCCCGAUGAAAGUUGGAUUAAUACCGCAUAUAGCUAUAUAGUUGCAUGAUUAUGUAGUGAAAGAUUUAUUGGUAUAGGAGGAGUCUGCGGCACAUUAGCUAGUAGGUGAGGUAAAGGCUUACCUAGGCGACGAUGUGUAGCCGGUCUGAGAGGAUGAACGGCCACAAUGGAACUGAGACACGGUCCAUACUCCUACGGGAGGCAGCAGUGGGGAAUAUUGCACAAUGGGGGAAACCCUGAUGCAGCAACGCCGCGUGAGUGAAGAAGGUUUUCGGAUUGUAAAGCUCUGUUAGCAGGGAAGAGGAAGGACGGUACCUGCAGAGGAAGCCACGGCUAACUACGUGCCAGCAGCCGCGGUAAUACGUAGGUGACAAGCGUUGUUCGGAAUAACUGGGCGUAAAGGAUGCGUAGGCGGUUAAACAAGUUAUAUGUUAAAUAUAUAGGCUUAACCUGUAGAAAGCAUAUAAAACUGUUUAACUAGAGUGCAGGAGAGGUAAGUGGAAUUCCUAGUGUAGCGGUGAAAUGCGUAGAGAUUAGGAAGAACACCAGUGGCGAAGGCGACUUACUGGACUGUAACUGACGCUGAGGCAUGAGAGCAUGGGGAGCAAACAGGAUUAGAUACCCUGGUAGUCCAUGCUGUAAACGAUGGGUACUAGGUGUGGGUUGUGAAUAACAAUUCGUGCCGUCGCAAACGCAAUA
rnacentral:rRNA from 1 species